rnacentral:rRNA from 1 species
CAGAACGUCGUGAGACAGUUCGGUCCCUAUCCGUCGCAGGCGUAGGAAAUUUGAGAAGACCUGUCCUUAGUACGAGAGGACCGGGAUGGACGUACCUCUGGGGUACCAGUUGUUCUGCCAAGGGCAUGGCUGGGUAGCUAUGUACGGAAUGGAUAAGCGCUGAAAGCAUCUAAGCGCGAAGCCAACUUCAAGAUAAGAUUUCCCACCGCAAGGGUAAGACCCCAGAAAGACUAUCUGGUUGAUAGGUCGAAGGUGUAAGUGCAGCAAUGUAUUUAGCUUAUCGAUACUAAUAGGUCGAGGACUUGACCAAU